rnacentral:misc_RNA from 1 species
GAUGAAGAACGUAGCGAAAUGCGAUAAGUAAUGUGAAUUGCAGAAUUCAGUGAAUCAUCGAAUCUUUGAACGCACAUUGCGCCCCUCGGUAUUCCGACGGGCAUGCCUGUCCGAGCGUCGUUUGCAACCCAUCGAGUAACACUUCUCGGUCUUGGGCGCCGUCCGCCCCCUCGGGGGAUCGGACGGGCCCCAAAGCCCUCGGCGGCCCCGCGUGCCCCGCCGGAGCGUCUUCGAAAGCAAUCGCUCCGGCGCGUCGCGCCCCGGGACCAAGCCGGCACCGCGGCCCCCCCAAAGGGGUCGCACCCCCAACACCAAACGUCUGACCUCGGAUCAGGUAGGGCUACCCGCUGAACUUAAGCAUAUCAAUAAGCGGAGGA